GAGUUUGAUCUUGGCUCAGAUUGAACGCUGGCGGCAUGCCUAACACAUGCAAGUCGAACGGCAGCGCGGGGGCAACCCUGGCGGCGAGUGGCGGACGGGUGAGGAACACAUAGGAAUCUACCUCAACGUGGGGGAUAACGUAGGGAAACUUACGCUAAUACCGCAUACGACCGAGAGGGGAAAGCGGCGGACCGCAAGGCGUCGCGCGGUGAGAUGAGCCUAUGUCCGAUUAGCUAGUUGGCGGGGUAAGAGCCCACCAAGGCGACGAUCGGUAGCUGGUCUGAGAGGAUGAUCAGCCACACUGGGACUGAGACACGGCCCAGACUCCUACGGGAGGCAGCAGUGGGGAAUAUUGGACAAUGGGCGCAAGCCUGAUCCAGCAAUGCCGCGUGGGUGAAGAAGGCC
rnacentral:rRNA from 1 species